GACGAACGCUGGCGGCGUGCCUAACACAUGCAAGUCGAACGGACUUAUGAUGAAGCCUAGCGAUUUAUAAGUUAGUGGCGGACGGGUGAGUAACGCGUGGGUAACCUGCCUCACACAGGGGGACAACAGUUGGAAACGACUGCUAAUACCGCAUAAGCGCACAGUAUCGCAUGAUACAGUGUGAAAAACUCCGGUGGUGUGAGAUGGACCCGCGUCUGAUUAGCUAGUUGGUAAGGUAACGGCUUACCAAGUCGACGAUUGGUAGCCGGACUGAGAGGUUGAACGGCCACAUUGGGACUGAGACACGGCCCAGACUCCUACGGGAGGCAGCAGUGGGGGAUAUUGCACAAUGGGGGAAACCCUGAUGCAGCAACGCCGCGUGAAGGAAGAAGGUCUUCGGAUUGUAAACUUCUG
rnacentral:rRNA from 1 species